rnacentral:lncRNA from 1 species
UCUCUGCAUGACACAUACUGCAACAAAAUGGAAAUUGAUUUCACCAAGUUUGGCAACUCUGCAGUGUCUUGUAACCUUUGCAACGAUGCUUAUUUGAAAGGCUGGGUUUAAUUAUCCUUCUUUUGCCUGCUUCUCAAGAUGUUGAUGGUUGGGAGAUGAGAAAUGUCUGGGCAAUAUUUGCAAUGCACUCUCAAGAGAAGGAGAGGUCACUUCUGGCUAGCCUGCUACCAAAGGAGUGUCUCGGGGAAUCUGGUGCCAUCAUCACACAGAACAAAUAGAUUCCCGCUGUACAUAACUGAAGACUUCCGUGAAUGGUCAGCCACGACCACAUUAAAAGGACCUGCGGACUAACAACCAAAAAGUGAUUCUUGUCGUUUCUAAAAACUGUCCUGAAGUGCUGUUUUCUGUAGGAACUGGUUCCCUGGGUCUUUUUGCUCUGUUUUCUCCAUUAUUUAAACACACUGUCUUCUGUUCUC